AUUGAACGCUGGCGGUAUGCUUAACACAUGCAAGUCGAACGGUAACAGGCUCUAGCUUGCUAGAGUGCUGACGAGUGGCGGACGGGUGAGUAACGCGUAGGGAUCUGUCUAAUAGCUUGGGACAACACGGGGAAACUCGUGCUAAUACCAAAUACACUCUAAGGAGGAAAGGUGGGGGUUAAACCCUGUCGCUAAUAGGGGAACCUGCGUUGGAUUAGCUAGUUGGUGGGGUAAUGGCCUACCAAGGCGACGAUCCAUAGCUGUUAUGAGAGGAAGAUCAGCCACACUGGGACUGAGACACGGCCCAGACUCCUACGGGAGGCAGCAGUGGGGAAUAUUGGACAAUGGGCGCAAGCCUGAUCCAGCAAUACCGCGUGUGUGAAGAAGGCCUGAGGGUUGUAAAGCACUUUCGGCAAGGAGGAAGUAUAUGGAGUUAAUAGCUUUAUAUAUUGACGUUACUUGCAGAAGAAGCACCGGCUAACUCUGUGCCAGCCGCCGCGUAA
rnacentral:rRNA from 1 species